rnacentral:rRNA from 1 species
UACGUAGGGUGCGAGCGUUAAUCGGAAUUACUGGGCGUAAAGCGUGCGCAGGCGGUUUUGUAAGCCGGAUGUGAAAUCCCCGGGCUUAACCUGGGAAUGGCAUUCGGGACUGCAAGGCUGGAGUGCGGCAGAGGAGACUGGAAUUCCUGGUGUAGCAGUGAAAUGCGUAGAUAUCAGGAGGAACACCGAUGGCGAAGGCAGCUCGCUGGGACGGUACUGACGCUAAGGCGCGAAAGCGUGGGGAGCGAACAGG